rnacentral:sRNA from 1 species
GCCGCGGUGGGGACGGAGACAUUGUUUCGUGGAAUUGGGGAGAAUGCGAUGAUUGUUAGUUAGUUUUAGGGGGUUCCUAAUGAUUUUGUUGGGUUAGCGGGCGGGUUAAAUGGAAUAGGGAGAUGCGAGAAGCGAACACUGUUACAAUCGCUCCCUCCAGGGUGUAAGCGGUGCCUCGUUUUUUAUACAGCUGUUGGGAAUUCAAAGAAACGCUCCUUAUGACUAACUAGGGUGGUGGAAGAAGAGAGAGCGCGGAAGGCCACUUUCGUAACAAUAAAAAAGAUGUGAGUAAAAGGGGUUCAGAGUGGUGGCUAUGGCAAUACUUUCAGUGAUUGUAGCAAUGUAGUUCCCAUAAUUUCACAUCGCUGAAAACAACAUACAAUAUAUCAAAAUCACAGGGUCA